AACGCGAAGAACCUUACCAAGGCUUGACAUGCAGGGAAAAGCCGUAGAGACACGGUGUCCGUAAGGGUCCUGCACAGGUGGUGCAUGGCUGUCGUCAGCUCGUGUCGUGAGAUGUUGGGUUAAGUCCCGCAACGAGCGCAACCCUUAUCCUAUGUUGCCAGCGGAUUAUGCCGGGGACUCAUGGGAGACUGCCGGGGUCAACUCGGAGGAAGGUGGGGAUGAGGUCAAGUCAUCAUGCCCCUUAUGUCUUGGGCUGCAAACAUGCUACAAUGGCCGGUACAGAGGGCUGCGAAACCGUAAGGUCGAGCGAAUCUCAAAAAGCCGGUCUCAGUUCGGAUUGGGGUCUGCAACUCGACCCCAUGAAGUCGGAGUCGCUAGUAAUCGCGAAUCAGCAACGUCGCGGUGAAUACGUUCCCGGGCCUUGUA
rnacentral:rRNA from 1 species